ensembl:lncRNA
AACCAAGGGUGCUUGUACCUUCUAGCUACCAUUUUUACAAAGCUAUGAAUCAUCAAACUGCAUUCAACACCAUGAUCAUUCAUCAUGACAAUAUUGUCAGUCAUGGACCAACCACUGGGAUAUUUCGGUAACCACAAAUUAUUAUUCUCCUAAUUCUCAACUAUAUUAUUCACUUAAUGUAUUAUUAUUUUUUUCAAUCCUUCCAUUAUGUGCAUUACAUCUAAUGUCAUAACUUUUUACCCUCACAGGGACCCACCUCUGUCUUCAGAGAUGCAGGUUGAGACUGGUCAGUCUCCAGUGUCUCUUCACAGUGGUUUCUUGGAGACCAGUUAUCAAGACCUUCAGACUGGAUCUGAGGUUGACUUGGUUCAUCCAGGUUUGGUGGAAGCCAGGCCUCAUUCCUUUAAUGAAUCAGGUCAGUGCAAUGACAUUCACAACAACUACAAAUAUCAACAUCCAGAUGUGGAGUCAGAAUAUAAGUCUUUGAUGUACAUUGAUGUGUCUUGUAGCCCAGUGUGGAAAGCAUUAAUGACUAACGUCAGUUUCAUCUUUAUUAAGUCAUAAUGAUCGCUAUUCACCACUCUUCAGGAAUGGUGACAUGUGUAACUAUAUAUCCAUAUCUCAAUAUCAUACGUCCUCUUAGGCACUAGUAAGCCAGAAGUCAGCCUGGACCAGUCCAGGGAUCAAUUCAUUCAGGGAAUGACAAAGUCCAAAGACUCUUCCCCCACGGACACUGAAUCCAUUGUUGCCGUCCAAAACCUUAUGAAUGACGACUUUUCCAGCAACCACACUGGUUCCAUUAAGAGGCUUGCUGUAGUGCAGCAUUUCCUCACAACUUGUCAGCGGUUGAGGGACCUCUGUAAUGGAUGCUCAGGUUUCAGAGUGUCAUUCUUUGGCCGUCAACCUGAGUUGUCCUCUGCCAGGGUCGCAGUUUCCAGUGGUGUUCAAAGUUGUGGCAACAUCAAGGAUACAGGCACCUCAGGGUGUGCUGAUCUGACCACAGCCAUUGAUGCCAUGGACACUGUAAUGGGAAGGAUGGUCCUGAAUUUAGAUGAUGCUGCCGCUAUCAGGAUGAAGAUGGAGCAACUUCUGUCCAGUGGAACUUUGAGGCCACUGACAGACAUGCUGGUGAAUCGCCUUCGACACAUCAUUCCAGAGUAUGACUGCCCUCAAGAGAAGUUUGUGUAUGCCAUAGUGGAGAGGUCUUUGAAGACUUUCCUUGGCCAACUGCUGGAUGGCGUUGUUGCAGAGUUAAAUGGUGCUCCUGAGGAGGGCAUUCCCUCUUCAUCAACAUCCAUUUCUAAUACUGAGAUCCACAGUGGAGACUUAAGUCUUUUGACCACCGCGAUGACACAGUAUAUCAUGAACAAUGUGUCUGGCCGGCCAAGGGACUGCUCAGGCGACUAUCCACCCACCAGGGACUUUUCAUCCAGGAUCAGUGGAACAAGUGAUCAAGAUUCUGUGGAGAACUGCAAAGUCACUGCCUGCACAGAGUGCCCUGAGGGAAAGGAUUACUUUUCCCUAGUCAGUAUAGUGUUGGUACAGCUGAUGAGAAAGAUUGAACCCACCAUCGAGCACAUGGCUGAUUUCACAGCCUUCCACAGUGACCUCACUGAAAGGAUCCUCUCAGAGUUUUGCUCUACAUCAGGCCUUUCAAGAGAUAAGUCAAAUCCAGCUGUCAGGAUUCAGAAGAUGUGCAAUGAUAUCUACAACGAACUUCUAAAGAGCUUUCGCACCAAAGCUAUGGUCAGUGGGCUUUUGGCCUAUCGGCAGCCUGUGUUGAGCACAGUCCUGACCAAGUGUUUGGUGAAAGAGCUUCUCCGGGUGAGCCAGGAGGAGGUGGGUGCUGAGAGGACGGAAGGAGCCCAGAGGUUCAGCUUCCUCCACAGACUCAAAGCCUUCAAGACUCUCAUCCUCAAGGUGCAAUAGUUUAUAUAUUUCAUGACAGUAACAGAUGUUAAUAUAUCUCAAAUAUUCUUCAUAAAAUAUUUUCUCUAUGUAUCUUACGUGUAAUUUUGGUGACUAAUAGUAAUGUAAUCAAUACUUAAUCUCAAUACAGAGUAACAGCAGAGUUCAGCCCAUGUCCUCAGAAGUCACAGAUGCUGAGACUUCCUCUGAUGAAAAUGAGGGUAAGUGUUCUAGAAGAUUUUCCAGUCAACGAUAAUUUCACUCACGGAAAUACAUACUGAUUUAUUACAUAGCCGAUUGACUGAAGAAUAGUAGAGUAAUGAAAUGUCCUGUUCCUCCUCCUUGGAACUACAGGUCAAACUUCCACAGCGACACCAGAGGAAAAUCCCCCUGCGUCCUCCUCAUGUGACGGAGAAUCCCACAACCCAAACCUUUUCUCAAAGAUGCUGAAGACCAUCACCACAGUCCUGCAGUCCCGUGGGACUUCCACAACACCAUAGAGUAGCCUACAUCAGGAUUUAGGCUGGACAUAUCAUGACAGGAUUAUAGAUCUGUUAUCAGGUCACAUGGCCAAAAAAAAAAGGAAAGGCCCCAAUUAUUAUUAUCAUUAUGGAUCUGUUAUCAGGUCAUAUGGCCAAAACAAAAAAAUGGCCCCAAUUAUUAUUAUUAUUAUUAUUAUUAUCAUUCUUGUCAUUAUAAUUAUUAUUGCUGUUGUAUUAAUAAUAAAUCAAUAUCUAUUUUUGUAUUGCUACA